rnacentral:rRNA from 1 species
UUAGUUUUGUAAUUUAAAACUGGAAUGAAAGAAUUGACUAGAGGAUAAACAUUUUAUCUUAAAAUAAUUAAAUUUUACUUUUUAUUAAAAAGGAUAAAAUAAAUUUUAUAGACAAGAAGACCCUGUGAAACUUUACAUACGUUUAAUAUAAAAAUUAUAAAUUAUGUUUUACUGGGGCGGUAGGAAAAUAAACGUUUCUAAUUUUAGAGAUAAUUAUUUAUAUAACUGAAAUUUUCAAAACUUGAAUAAGUUACUCCAGGGAUAACAGCGUUAUUCAUUUUAAAAGUUCUUAUUGACAAAUGAGUUUGCGACCUCGAUGUUGAAUUAAGAUACCUUAAUUGUGAAAAGAUAAU